ACCGUGCAAAGGUAGCAUAAUCAUUAGUUUUUUAAUUGAAAGCUGGUAUGAACGGUUGGACGAGAGAGUAACUGUCUCAAUUUAAAUGUAUAUAGAAUUUUAUUUAUAAGUAAAAAAGCUUAUAUAAUUUUAAAAGACGAGAAGACCCUAUAGAGUUUUAUAGUUUAUUUUAUUAUUUAAUUUUAGUAUAUUUAUAUUUUUAAUAAUUUAAACUAUUUUGCUGGGGCAGCAGAGAAAUUUACUAAACUUUUUUUAUUGAAUUACAUUAAUUUAUGAUUGAAUGAUCCAUUUUUAAUGAUUAUAAGAUUAAAUUACCUUAGGGAUAACAGCGUAAUUUUUUUUUAGAGUUCUUAUCGAAAAAAGAGUUU
rnacentral:rRNA from 1 species